rnacentral:pre_miRNA from 1 species
UCCGGUAUGUCUAAAUCUAGAUGUACACAGAUAUAUAUAGCGAGAUAUAGAUGUAUCGGCUA